rnacentral:lncRNA from 1 species
CUUCGCCCGUUGUAUGCAUCUACCGGUUCAGCUAUCCCUUCUCCAAAGGCUACUCCAGUCAGUUCGAUGGACAUGUCAACAUUGAGCCCACUGGCGCUUGGUUCUUCGUCCAUGUUGCUGCCUACUAGUUCAACACCCCCGAUGUCUCCUGCUGUUACAUGUUCGUCUCCAAUGGGUGGAAACUUGUGGCAGAGCAAGGUGAACAUCACCCCACCUGCAUUACAGCUUCCUGGUAGUAGGCUAAAGACCUCUUUGAAUGCUCGGGACUUGGACUUGGACAUGGAUAUGCUUGGCUUGGAAAGCAUCCGCACUCAGCAGCAACUAAGACAACAAUUGAUAGAUGAGAUGGCUGGUCUCUCUUCAC